GUGUUAGUUGAAGGAAGAGAUGGUUGGCAUAUCCUCUGACAAAGACGGGAUAGACCUCCCGGGUUCUGGCACAUCUGGGCAAGGCUACCACCCUCAGUAUAUAUGACCAAAAUUUUGU